rnacentral:rRNA from 1 species
CUCCACUUCAUCCGCUCCCCAAUCCAUCGAGGGGUCCAGGGUGUACCCCUUGGCAUAGCCCCGUCUGUCUCUCUUGGUGCCGAUCCUAAUGUUGAGAAUUCUGUUUGGGGUCAGGUCCUAACAACUUUUGGUACACCUCGAGCUUCAACCGAUACAGAAAGUUCAGCGGUUGCAGGUCUUCGGUCGGGCAAAGUGAAUGAUGCCUCCCGAACUGCAUAGUAAGGUGGAAGAUGCAGAACUGAGCCAUUGCUUACCCAAUCCAGCUCUAGGUUGCAAGGACAUGUGUAAGUGUGUCGAUUACCCUCAACACUCCAUAUCCCCUCCUGGAACAUAGUGAAGUGAUAACCUCAGAUCAGUGCUGAUGGGUUCAUCUGAAUACGUUUAUAAAUACACCAGAACAAAAGAGAGGGAGUAAAACAUCUAUGAAAAACUUGUCAUCGACUUCGUCGAAUUAUACGGAAUAAUACACCAAGACAACACACGAGUACAUAUAUAUCAUGUGAUCAUACAAGCAUAUAAUAAUGAGGAAUGAAGUAUAAAACUCUAGAAUUUAGAAUCAAUAUCGAAGAAUAUCGUGUGUGCAAUGCGAUGCAUGAGUCCACCAUCCUUACUCCUUUAUCCUCCCAAUAACUAUUCGGAAAUAACUUCGAGUACAGUUCCCAUAAAAAUCCGAUUUUAUGGCACCAAAAUAUUCCUCGCAAGGAUAUAUGAUCGAUAUGUUCCAACGGAACUAUCCAUUUCAGGAUGGUGUCGUGUCAAACACUUUCUGGUCAUCCCUCUCAUUGAUCCUGAUUGCAAAGAGGGGUUGUUAGAGAUCGUCUAGUUUGUGUUGUGAGCAAUGUCCGAUCCAACAUAAUACCUCACCUUGGAAACGGCUCAGCCAAAGGUAGAGUCCAACGGCUGGAAGAGCCCCACACGUCGUGUGGUGUCCGGUGCGCCCCCAGCGGCCCUUGAAUAUCCGGAGGACUGAGUGCCUCCCACGCCCGAUCGUACUCAUAACCGCAUCAGGUCUCCAAGGUGAACAACCUCUUGUCGAUGGUACAAUGUAGGUAAAUGAAGUCGGCAAAAUGGAUCUGUAACCUCGGGAAAAGGAUUGGCUCUAAGGGCUUGGCACGGCGAUCCUAGUCCCCAACCCGUUGGCUGUCGUGGCGAGAGUGGGUCGCCAUAUGCCAGUCGGAGGACAGAUUGGGAACGAGCCCUUCGGAUGUUGACGCGAAGCAUUAAGAUGAUCCCUGUGGAUGUUGACGCAAUGUGAUUUCUGCCUAGUGCUCUGAAUGUCAAAGUGAAAAAAUUAUACCAAGAAAGGGUAAACGGCGGGAGUAACUGACUAUGACUCUCUUAAGGUAGCCAAAUGCCUCGUCAUCUAAUCAGUGACGCACAUGAAUGGAUUAAUGAGAUUCCCAUUGUGCUUAUCUACUAUCCAACGUCACCGCAGCCAAGGGUACUGGCUUGGCAGAAUCAGCAGGGAAAGAAGACCCUAUUGAGCUUGACUCUAGUCCGACUUUGUGAAAUGACUUGAGAGGUGUAGGAUAAGUGGGAGCUGGAAAUAGCAAAAGUGAAAAACCACUACUUUUAACGUUAUUUUCUUAUUCCGUGAAUCGGAGGCGGGGCGCAACACCUGUAUUUGGACCCAAGGUCAGCCUCGGUUGGUCGAUCCGAGCGGAAUACAUUGUCAAGUGGGGAGUUUGGCUGGGGUGGCACAUCUAUUAAAAGAUAACAUAAGUGCCCUAAGAUGAGCUCAACGAGAACAUAAAUCUCGUAUGGAACAAAAGGGUAAGAGCUCUUUUGAUUCUGAUUUCCAGUACGAAUACGAACCAUGAAAGCGUGGCCUAUCAAUCCUUUAAUCCUUUAGAAUUUGAAGCUAGAGGUGUCAGAAAACUUACCAUAGGGAUAACUGGCUUGUGGCAGCCAAGUGUUCAUAGCGACGUUGCUUUUUGAUCCUUCGAUGUCGACUCUUCCUAUCAUUGUGAAGCAUAAUUCACCAAGUCUUGGAUUGUUCACCCACCAAUAGAGAAUGUGAGCUGGGUUUAGACCAUCGUGAGACAGGUUAGUUUUAUCCUACUUAUGAAAAUUUAUCGGCUUGGAGAAAAAUCAUGUAACUUCAUUGACCACUAUCUCCUAUUCUUAUAAGCACAUGUGCAAAACCUCAUGGCAAAAUUCGACUUCUAGCCUAAAAAACCCACUAUGUCUUCCCAAAAAAAGGUUUUCCGGUGGUGUAGAGUAGGCUUCUGCAUAUUAGCCUACUAUAUCGGGGCAAGCUGCCUUCCUGCCCACACACCUUGGUGGGUCAGGAUGGCGAGCCAUGGGGCUCCCUCGAACGCCCCUGCAAGCUAUCCCUAGGCAUGCUGGUGUGUUUUUCCAUAGCGUUGUGGGCAAUUCGACUGUGUCAUCUUCCAUGCUGAAUCUCGGCC